rnacentral:rRNA from 1 species
CGGGCGGACGGGUGAGUAACGCGUGGGUAACUACCCUGUACACACGGAUAACAUACCGAAAGGUAUGCUAAUACGGGAUAAUAUAUUUGAGAGGCAUCUCUUGAAUAUCAAAGGUGAGCCAGUACAGGAUGGACCCGCGUCUGAUUAGCUAGUUGGUAAGGUAACGGCUUACCAAGGCGACGAUCAGUAGCCGACCUGAGAGGGUGAUCGGCCACAUUGGAACUGAGACACGGUCCAA